rnacentral:rRNA from 1 species
UCCUACGGGAGGCAGCAGUGGGGAAUAUUGCGCAAUGGGGGGAACCCUGACGCAGCCAUGCCGCGUGAAUGAAGAAGGCCUUCAGGUUGUAAAGUUCUUUCGGUAAUGAGGAAGGGAUGUUGUUAAAUAGAUAGCAUCAUUGACGUUAAUUACAGAAGAAGCACCGGCUAACUCCGUGCCAGCAGCCGCGGUAAUACGGAGGGUGCGAGCGUUAAUCGGAAUAACUGGGCGUAAAGGGCACGCAGGCGGACUUUUAAGUGAGAUGUGAAAUCCCCGAGCUUAACUUGGGAACUGCAUUUCAGACUGGGAGUCUAGAGUACUUUAGGGAGGGGUAGAAUUCCACGUGUAGCGGUGAAAUGCGUAGAGAUGUGGAGGAAUACCGAAGGCGAAGGCAGCCCCUUGGGAAUGUACUGACGCUCAUGUGCGAAAGCGUGGGGAGCAAACAGGAUUAGAUACCCUGGUAGUCC